AGGACGAACGCUGGCGGCGUGCUUAACACAUGCAAGUCGAACGGAAAGGCCCUGCUUUUGUGGGGUGCUCGAGUGGCGAACGGGUGAGUAACACGUGAGUAACCUGCCCUUGACUUUGGGAUAACUUCAGGAAACUGGGGCUAAUACCGGAUAGGAGCUCCUGCUGCAUGGUGGGGGUUGGAAAGUUUCGGCGGUUGGGGAUGGACUCGCGGCUUAUCAGCUUGUUGGUGGGGUAGUGGCUUACCAAGGCUUUGACGGUAGCCGGCCUGAGAGGGUGACCGGCACAUUGGGACUGAGAUACGGCCCAGACUCCUACGGGAGCAGCAGUGGGAAUAUGCACAAUGGGCGGAAGCCUGAUGCAGCAACGCCGCGUGCGGGAUGACGGCCUUCGGGUUGUAAACCGUCUUCGCCUGUGACGAAGCGUGAGUGACGGUAAGUGGUAAAGAAGCACGGCAACUACGCGACAGCAGCCGA
rnacentral:rRNA from 1 species